UACGUAGGUGGCAAGCGUUUGUCCGGAUUUAUUGGGUUUAAAGGGUGCGUAGGCGGCUUGAUAAGUCAGUGGUGAAAGCCGAUCGCUUAACGAUCGAACUGCCAUUGAUACUGUCGGGCUUGAGUAUAGAUGAGGUAGGCGGAAUUGACAGUGUAGCGGUGAAAUGCAUAGAUAUUGUCAAGAACACCAAUUGCGAAGGCAGCUUACUAAGUUAUAACUGACGCUGAGGCACGAAAGUGCGGGGAUCAAACAGG
rnacentral:rRNA from 1 species